GAGCUGACGUUGGCGCCUGUGAGUUCAGUUCCAGGUGACGCAUGCGCAGCAGAGAGGGGCCUGUGCUCUACCGCUGCUCCUCCAGGUCUUGUUUGACGUCCAGGCGUGAGGGGAGUGCCGCGUGAGGGAAGGAGAGCGGUCGGUCCCGGCCCGCCCGAGGGCGAAGAUGAGUUUGUUUGGGACAACAUCAGGGUUUGGAGCUGGGGGCACCAGCAUGUUUGGCAGCACAGCUACAGAUAAUCACAACCCAAUGAAGGAUAUUGAAGUUACUUCACCACCUGAUGACAGCAUUGGUUGUUUGGCUUUCAGCCCACCAACAUUGCCGGGUAAUUUCCUUAUUGCAGGAUCUUGGGCAAAUGAUGUUCGUUGUUGGGAAGUCCAGGAUAAUGGGCAGACGAUUCCAAAAGCCCAGCAAAUGCACACAGGACCAGUGCUAGAUGUUUGCUGGAGUGAUGACGGGAGUAAAGUGUUUACAGCAUCUUGUGAUAAAACUGCCAAAAUGUGGGAUCUCAACAGUAACCAAGCAAUACAAAUUGCACAGCAUGAAGCUCCUGUAAAGACUGUCCAUUGGAUUAAAGCACCAAAUUAUAGCUGUGUGAUGACUGGGAGCUGGGAUAAAACUCUAAAGUUCUGGGAUACACGAUCACCCACUCCAAUGAUGACGUUGCAGCUACCUGAGCGGUGCUACUGUGCUGAUGUAGUAUACCCAAUGGCUGUUGUAGCUACUGCAGAGAGAGGCUUGAUAGUUUAUCAGUUGGAGAAUCAGCCUUCUGAAUUUAGAAGAAUAGACUCUCCACUUAAGCAUCAGCAUCGAUGUGUGGCUAUUUUUAAAGACAAAGUGAACAAACCAACAGGGUUUGCCCUUGGAAGCAUUGAAGGAAGAGUAGCCAUUCAUUACAUUAACCCUCCAAAUCCUGCCAAAGACAACUUCACCUUCAAAUGUCAUCGUUCCAAUGGCACAAACACAUCUGCUCCUCAGGAUAUCUAUGCUGUUAAUGGAAUCGCCUUUCAUCCUGCCCACGGCACUCUUGCAACCGUAGGAUCUGAUGGUAGAUUCAGCUUUUGGGAUAAAGAUGCGCGGACGAAGCUAAAAACCUCAGAGCAGCUGGACCAGCCAAUAUCUGCUUGCUGUUUCAACCACAAUGGCAAUAUAUUUGCAUAUGCUUCUAGUUAUGACUGGUCAAAGGGGCAUGAGUUCUAUAAUCCGCAGAAGAAAAACUAUAUAUUUCUGCGCAAUGCUGCCGAAGAGUUAAAACCCAGAAAUAAGAAGUAUUAAAUCUUAUGGAGGUCAAUAAGAGUCUAGCAGCAUCAGGAUCAAUUUUCAAGACGUCUGCAACUUAUUGUUCAUGCGUGGCUGUAUUAACUUUGAGAUAACAAGACAGUGGAAUUUCAUUUGUCCGAGGCAUACUUGGGAAUGCAGACAGCUACGUGAGAGGUACCACAGGAACAUCAACUGAGGAAGGUGUCUCUAUCCAGAAACUAGCUAGCUUAGCUUGCCAGUUGGGUUUCUUCUUUGUGCCUUUUUAUCCUGUAGCAACCAAAAUGCUUAAACUCUGCUGCUGUUCUACUCCUAACCCUUUUUAUUUUACUGCUUUUGUUCUGUGAGAGAUGCCUCUGGUGUUCCUUAAAACUUUCCUCCUAUGGUUGACCUAUGUGUUUAAAGCUGCACUUCUCCACACUUACAAGGGUUCAGUGGCACUUAUUUUGGGGUAAGCACAGAUUGGAUUGCAAAGUAAUAACAAACGAUAACAGUAACUCCCUUUUCCAAUAGAAGUCUUAAAUUGAAGUGUGGAACAUUAACCUGCUGGUGGGCAACUGUACCGUAAAAAUAGAUGGAAAAUCGUGAAUAUCAUCUUCUCUAUCUACCUUGCUAAGAACAAAGCAGUUUUUUCCAGUUUGUUGGCCCAGCUCAGUAGUUUUCAAAGUUGGUUCUGGGACUCCUUGAUAAGUUCCUUGGAAGCUUAGUAAGAGGCUUCCUCCCAUGAUCAAUAAAGGUGGAAAAGCUUCCUUGUCCCAGGCAUGUUCUGAGGGUCCAUGAUGUAGUCACCUUUGCUGAAGCUAAACUGGUCUAGUUCUAGUCAGUGUCUGCCAGGAUAGGAGACCUCACAUACAUCACCUUGAGUGGAAAAAAGAUGGGAUAUAAAUGUGCGCAAAUAGAUUGAAAGGCAGUCUGUCCACAACUGUGGCUCUUCAUUUACAGUGCACAUAUAGAAACAUCUGUGUGUUUUGUUGGGUGAACUUCUCAUGUAAUAGUGAUCAACAGUCCCAGCAAACACCCUGCCUGAAGUGAGAGUAGGAGCUGUUGUAGAAAGAGUCCUCUGCAUCCAUGAUAGAUGCACAGCAGUUCCUCGAUCAAGUUGAUGUGAAGGUUCUCUGUGUAUAGAAUGUCUGGAAACUGUUGCUGUCCAUAAUCAUCUUCCCCAUCCCCCAAAUUUUCCCUUGCAAUACGUAUUCUGCAACUUCACUUCUAUCUUAACCACACUUUCUGCAAUAAGUAAGGUAGCCACAAUAGGAAAUAGCAUGAGGAAAGAUGUCGGAACCAAAUCCUAGCUUUUUCUCGUGUGGCUUUGUUUAUGCUUGAGUCAAAGGCCCCUUCAUUUUCUUCCCCCGUCAUGCAGGCCCUGCUUCUUACCACAAGUCAGCUUAUUAUAAGAAGUAAGAGGGGGAAAUACUCCCAUUUCCUCUUGCUUUUGUUCAUUCAAAACAGACUUCCCCAUGUCAAUUCGGGCUAGAUGUUCAAAGGCCUGCUUACUUCAAUUUUACCAGCUCCUCUGUUGGUGUUUGAGGUCUUCUGAAAAGUGACUUUCCCUAUCACAUUAACACUUAAAACACAUUUUCAAAUAAUCUUGCACUCCAAAUGGCUACUCUCAAUCUUUUGUGGCAUGUAGGUAUCCAGUCUUUCAUUGCAGCAAAGUAAUAACCUGUGAUUUUAAAAAAAUCUAACCAUCUCCAAUAGCAGCCAAAUAAACUAUGUAAUAUGCCAUAUAUUAUCAGCUUGAUGACAAAAAUAAAUAGAUCACAGGAUUUGUGUGAGCUGGUUCCAAGCCAUAAAACUUGAUUUUCUGUUUCCUGUGUAAACCUGACCUGGGUGGUGUGAAUGUGAUAUGCAACUAGGAAUCAUUGCAAUCCCUGGGUUAUUGAUUUAAAGCUAUCUGCUUGAAAAAGCAGCCCAUUUAUGUCACUUCAUUUUAUAGAAGAAUAAAAUGUGCAAGGUGUGUGGCUAUCUUGUGAUAAUUCUGUGUGUUUCCCCAGUGGUUGUGUAUUGACAGAGCAUGUUAUUUUCUUGAGCUCUUCCCCAGUUUAUAGUUUGUUUCCUCUUAAGAUUAUUUCAAUAAAUUACACCCCACCUGUCUUCUGAAGACAAAAAUCAUGACAGUUAACAAUAUCACCAAAAUAUGUUGGAUAUCAUGAAUACAAUUAACAUAAAUUGCUAUAAAGCAAUAUAUCAAAUGAAUAAUCCAGUGAAGCAUGUGCUGGAAGUUAUAGGAUACUCGAUUUAGCAUUUAUAGAAGCAUACUCUUAAAAUGCACCCACGAAUGAAACACUAGUUUGGAUUCUUGUUGUUUUUAAGUAUCUCACAGAAGAGAUUUUUGGGCUGCAAUCCUAUAUUCACUUACUUGGGAGGCAGCUCCAUUGAACUCAAUGGGACUAGACAUAGGAUUGCACUGUUAAGCUAUUUAAAGUUUGUUUUUAUGCAUUGCUGGCUCCUUAAUUUUGUGGGGGCCUUGAUCCUCAGUUCCUGAAUGGGCUCAUUUUAUUCUCACUGCGGUAGCCACUACCCGUUUACCUCGCUCCUCCCUUGGGAUGGCUGUGUGCAUUAAGCCCAAAGGCCUGAAAAUUAGGACUGUGCAACGGAUUUGUCUUAACCCUGGAUCCUGAGCUGAAUCAAGCCACUUUGGGUCAAUCCAGGAUUCGGUUGGAUAGGAUUGAGGCAGUCCCAGUUGGACUGGGUCUAUCCAAAGUGAUCUGGAGCUGUCAAGGGAGGGGGGGAAGAGAUGCACAGGUAGCCUGACUGUAUGACUGCAAGGCCCCACCAAUUGGUAUUGGGCCCAGAUCAGGGCCACUCUGGAGUAGGCCGUAAAUCAGUUUGAGGGGGUCAGUGCACAGCCAUACUGAAAUAACAUGAGAUCAGACAAGUUACAAGGUCAGACUGAUACAAGUAUUCCGACUGCCUUCUGGUUGAGCUUUCAGUAUGAUGGACAGAGGGGAAACAGCCAUCAUUGCUCUAUAAGAACAAAGAAUAGCAUGGGACUUCAAAAGACUAACAAGCCUAUUAUUGUCAUAAUCUAUUAUGGGUCACAAUCUAGGCAUAAUCUAUUAUGGGUCAGAGCCCACUUCAUCAAAUGCAUGAUGGUUAGAAUUACAAGAAGUUUUCUAAGGGUAAAAACUGCUUGAUAAUGGAACUGACUGCUUUGGGCAGUGGUGGGCUCUCCUUCACCAGAGGGUACUUCUAGCAGCUGUCAGGGAUGCUGUAGUUAUGUCUUGCAUUGACCAGAGAGUUGGGCUAGAUGACCUCUAAGAUACCUUACAGCACCUUGAUUCUAUAAAGUAGUCAUUUAAGUGGAUGCACCUUAAGGACUUCUUGACUGAGCAAAGUGUAAUUCACAGCCAGAGAUCAAGCAAGGGGCUUGUACUAGAAACAAUGAUGGAUUCUGAGCCCUAAUUUGAAUUGCAGCAAGCUCAAAGGGUGAGGGAAAGGUUUGGCCAACUUGAAUUUGGGUUGUCUUAUUUUAGGAGGUGAUGUUCAUAGUUUUAAGUGCUCCCUUCUCAAAUGUUUGCCCCAUCCCUAAUACCCUCGGUACUGGGAAAAGAUUUAUUUGUCAGAAUAAAGUCAAAUCAUCAAGCAAUGCAAGACAGCCAGCUGUCCAGCAUCCUGUUCCUAUGGCGGCCAACUAGACACCUAAGAGAAGCCCUCAAACAGGACAUGAGGGCAGUAGCCCUCUUUCACUUUUUGUUAGUGACUGGUAGUUGGAGGCAUUGUGUCUCUGAUGUUGAAGACAAUAUAUAGCUAUCAUGACUAGUUGCCAUUGAUAGCAUCAUUUUCUGCAACAUUUUUGAAGGAUGGCACAAUAUCAACCUCAAAUGCAUAGCAUGCACAUUUUGUUGUUGCCUAAUUAUAAAGGAUCCAGCGGAGUUUGCUGUGAAAGUAUCUCCUAACCAAGAAACUUGCUGACUUUCUCAGCUUCUGGGAUAUCCUCACACCAGUCAAGAUGGCACCAUAAAAGGCUUUGCAAACUGCAGGUUAACGUUCAGCUACAUAAAUAGCCAUUUUGAUUACCAUGUCUAAUAGUUUUGAUGCUGCUUACUUUGAUAGUUGUAAAUCUUUAUUUGAGCCAGGAGAUGGCAGCAUUUGUAUCUAUUGUAUUCAUGUGUUUGGAAACCUAUUGAGAUGAAGCUUGUGGAGGGUUCAUUAUAUUCCGCCAGGUGCUAAUAAAAACAAAAUGAAGUCAAAGAAAAGGCAAGACACGCUUCCAUGCCUUUUGGAGUUUUAUCGAUACUUGGAAACAACAAGCCACCUCCAAAGUCAGAUCCCUUAUUUUUGUUUUCCUGAUAAUUAUAGGUGAUGGCUGCAAUUGGGUCAAGUGCUUUUCCAUUGUGUUCCUGGAUUAGAUCCAAUUCCUCCAGUAGCUAUUAAAAGGAUAAGUUUUCCUCUCUCUCUCUUUUCUAACAAAACAUCUUGACAUCUUUAAAGAGCAAUAUAUAUAUAUAUGAGUGGGAGAGCAAAACAUUGCAGUGUGGAAUGCGCAUGUUCACGGAUCCAAUCCUCUUUCAUUCCCCCACCAAUUAUAUUUUACUUGUUUUAGGUAUUUAUAUACCGCUUUUCCAUAUCCACCCAAGCAGCCAGCCAGCCAGCCAGCAUUCCAUGACCACUGAGCAUGCUCAGUCUUCACUAGCAGGUUUGCAGUUUACAUAUCCCUCCCCCCCCCCUUUUUAAAGGAAAGUAGGGUUGUAUUUCAGGAAAAUUUGAUAUUUACCCGAGAGCCGCCUGCUGCUGCCUCCCUCUUAUGUUUGGAUGGUGGUGGUUUAGCUACAUAAGGAUUGUCAUUCUGCGUUCACUAUCAGUAUAUAGAAUUUUAUUUUAUAAAAUAAAACCCUGAAUGCUUAGGGCAAGAACAAAAUCAAAAAGAGAAAGGCAAAGAACCCCACAAAUACAAAAUAAAAUAAAUCCCUCCCACCUUCCUAAGCAGGUGGAUUGUAACACACUUCCAAAAGGUGAUCAAGUUUGGACUUUGGUGAAUGGUAGCCACAUACACAUCACCAAAAAAAGAGGAAAUGUAUGACCAGAAGAGGGCAUAGACUUACAUAAAAAUUGCAUAUAGUAGUGCAUAAUAUAUGUAUAAAAUUAUUUUUAUUUAUUAUUAAUUUAUGCACCACCUUUCCUCCAAGGAGCUCAAGAUGGCAUGCAAACAUGGUUCUCCCCCUCCUGGUUUUAUUCUCACAACAACAAUCCUCUGAGGUAGGUUAGGCCAAGUGACAGUGACUGGCCCAAGUCACCCAGUGACCUUCAUGGCCGAGCGGGAAUUUGAACCCAGGUCUCCCACAUCCCAGUCUGACACUCUAACCACUAUACCACAUUGGGUCUUGCCAGUGCAAAUUUAGAAACAAUUUAGAUGCAAUUUUAGAAAUAAAUAGAAAACAGCAGAAAAACAAUAACACCAGAGCAGGGCAGACCCCCUUAUGAUUCUUUGUCUUUAAUUGGAACACUUGGACCAGGCAGCCAUUCAAACAGAGAAAUACCUGCUGUGAAGUAGGAUAUGUGGCCACCCUAUUACUUAUCCCAUUAUUUUAUUUUAAUUAUUUAAUUUAUUAAUCACUUCCUAUGAGGCAUCGCGAAGCAAUUUGCAAUACAAUAAAACGUGUAUAAAACAAUUAGAUAUAUAAAAACAGUUCAAACAAUUGCAUAUAUAAAAAAUUAAAAACAAAAAACAAUUACAUGUAGAACAAAACAACGAUUACAUAUAUAAAAUCCAUUUCAGAUCCAAUGUAGAUACCAACUGGGAUAAUCAUUUCCACUUCAAAGUGUUAGGACAAAACAGGGUAAGGUCUCAGUUAACACAUCUAAAGGCACAACAGCACAGCAGAACCAAAGUUGCAAAGCACCAUGGGCCCAACUGACAGGAAAGUUUUCCUUAGGUUUCGUUUCUUGACUGUGGGAACGCGCCUGAGAUGGUGCCUGCCAGGCUGCAACUAUGUUCCGGAUGAGAUAAUCAUUCAACUGUCCUUGACUGUUUUAUUUUCCUGUACUCUGUGUAUUCUCAACUCCCUUCAUGCCAUGCUGUUAUCCUUGUAAUAAAUGACUACAGUCUCCCCCAAUGUGUCAAUAUCCCCUCAGAAGUGUGUAAUAGAAUAUUCCUAGAAGAUAGUUCUCAGGGCCAUAUGUAUCUCUUUGUAUAUGUGUCUUUCGUUUAUGGUGCCCCAAAGUGUUACUUCACCCCAACAUACCAUUCCUUAUCUCAGGAUGAGAUGGACAUGGGUUCUGAUUUUCAAAGAGAAACUUCCUGACUUUGAUAUGUAGCAAGUGAUAUGUAGCUUAGGUCUGUUACUUUUCUCUUGUUUUAGUUACAUUUUGUUUAUUGAUAGUACGCCUCAGAAUGCUAUAUAUUGUCAUGCUUAACAAUAAAGAGUUGCUCUCAUCCUUGCCAGGCUGUUGUGCCCGUGUGAGUGUGAAAGCCCUUUUUGAUCAAGAAGUUGUCUGUGUCUUACUUGAUAUCUGGGUGGCUCUUAGCCAAAAGGAAUAUUUGGUUUUUAUCUCAGCUCGCACUUCUACCCGGGUGCUUUGAGGUGAGCAGUGGGCAUUCAUUGCCAAUUUAAAUUCUCAACAAAAUUGGGGGCUCGUCCGGGAUCUAGUGCGCUCCCUGGGUUCUACGGGAAAGCUCUGUGCACACACGGUCAGGCGCCAGGAGAGAUUUCGCUCCCGUCCGUGUCAGAGCCAACCGUCGUUCCUACGGGGUAAGGCAUAGCUGAAAACUAUCCCACCAGAUAUCAUGGGUCAAACGCACAGUAAAACAUGUAGUAGUGCUGAUGCUGUAACCCCUUUGAGUCUUAUGUGCAGGUUCUGGGACGAAGGAUGCUUGCCAAUCAAGACAAGUAUGAAAAAUAAAACCAUGGUAAGGUUGUGUGUCAAGGAAUGGACACGGAUGACCGCAGUCGGGGCCCCCGAACAUCGGUGGCCUCGGGAUGGAUCCUUUGAUGCCGUUUGCUUAUCCAGGGUAAGAAAACGGAUAGAUAUGGACCACCCUAGCCACUCCGAUUUCUGGCUCCUGUGGCAAGCAGGAGCGCAGAAAUGGACUGGCAUAAAGGUAAUGAUUGGUAGGUCUGUCUCCGGUAACGAACCCCCCCCGGCUAUUUUACCGAUGACCCACCUAGACGGCAGGUAAUUUGCCGAUCCGUUAUUCCAUCUGCCCCACCGCCAUCUCAGGACGGCGGGUCCCCACAGGGACAGAUGGACGACCCGGAUUCGUGGGUCGAUAGAUUUCCGUUUAGGCACAAACCUGAGGUCGAACCAGACCCCCCUAAGAGAGGAAAAGCCAGGGUCGGGGGGGGUCCUGAGGAUCAGAGAAUGCUCUUGCGAUCCCACGACCCGAAACCCCCAGCCACCCCCAGGCUCUCAUGUACGUUCAGUACUCCCGGAGGAACAGACGGGGCGAGUGCAAUGCUCCCCCUGGUAAUCCAUGACCAGCCUUACCUGGACGCCCAAGGGCUGCUGCAACAUGUGGCCCUGGCAGAGCACAAGGCAUGGCUAGAAUGGGAUCUCAAGGAAUGGAGCCUAUUGGAAGGUACGUUUGAAGAAAAGCCCAGGAAAAUCCAGAUCCUCUUGCACAGGCUGUUCUUGAGCCACAAUCCCACCUACAGCGACGUCAACUAUCUCCUGGACCGAGUACUGACAGGUGAGGAAUGCAGCAGACUCUGGGCCCUCGAAACGGCUUGGGCAGUCGAGGACCUGACCAACCGGAGAUCAUGGGACAGGCGCACCGAUGAAGCCGCAACUUGGACAGGUAAUGACUGGACAGCAGAGAGAAGGACCCAGCUUAGGGAUGACAGGGAGCGGCUCCUUUCCCAUCUAAAGCAAAUGUCUCAAAAACCUCCUAAUCAGACCAAAUUUAUGGCCAUCAAACAAGAAACCACUGAGCCCCCGUGUAAAUUUUGGACAAGAUUAUUGGAGGGGGCCAGAAGCCAUACCAAUUUGAAUCCAGAAAAACCGGAGGAUCAGCCGUCCCUGGUCGCGUCUUUCGUGCACCAGGCGCUGCCAUAUAUUAGAGACUAUUUCCAACAUUUCAGACCAGGGUGGGGAGUGGAGCCGAUCACUGCCAUUUUGGAGGUGGCGGAUGUGGUUUGGGAAAAUGAGAAGGAGAAAGGGAAGAAAAAGGAAAAGAAAGAGCAGUAUCAGCUGUUGGCCACCGCCAUACGCAGCGGCCUGGGAAUUCGUUUCCCCAGAGGAGGGAGGGGUCGGAACCAACAGGGACAAGGCAGAGCGCAGAAUAGAGGGACAUGGGAAGGAGACGGGGAAGGGGGUGCUUCCGAUGCGGAGACCUGUCGCAUUACAAACGGGACUGCCCGCUGGCAGCGGGAGAUUUUACCCAAGAUGGGUAUGAUAACUCAGUUUUUCAGACACCAGUGCACUGCCUCCCCCGCCACCACCAAGCACAUCAACUCAGCAACAGAAGCAACCGCGGCAACCGACACCGGCUGCAUGGAACGAACAGGGAGCAACACCACGCCGUCCCCCUCAACAAUGACUAUCUAGCGAAUGGACGCUCGGCGCCGGAGAGGACUGGGGAAUGCUUGCCUUGUUGUCCCUGGCCGGCACCUUUCUUUCCCUGUCUUCUCCGACGACCGAGCCAGUCCUGACCAUGUGGAUUGAGGGCGUUGAGUUCGAGUUUCUCAUAGACACCGGGGCGACCUAUUCUCUCCUGAACAGGGCGCCACGCGCAUGGCUCACAAAGGACUCUAAAUUAGCAAUGGGGAUGGGGGGGGGUUUCCAUGUAACCAAGCCAUUGCGAGUUAAGUGUGAAGGGAAAAUAUUCGAUCAUGUGUUUCUGUAUUCUAAUGCUUGUCCCAUCUCCUUAAUGGGACGUGAUAUGCUUUGUCAACUUGAGGCUACUUUAACCUGCACUUCUGGGGGGGUGGAAUUGCUCCUUAGCGUGUUCGGGAUAAGGGAAUCAGCGCCCCCCUUAGGACAUCUAACUUUACCUGAGGACUUGAGCGAUCUGCCCCCAUCCUUGUGGGGAACCAAAGACACUGACGUGGGACUGUUGAAAUCAGUGUAUCAGUGUCCGGAUACAGGUAAAGCCAUCACUUCCCCCACCUUGCAUCCAGCAGUACCCGUUUUCUUUAGAAGCGAGGGAAGGCAUACGACCAAUCAUAGAAGGGUUCAUACAAGAAGGAAUCAUACGCCCACAGCGCACACCCUGCAACACCCCAAUCCUGCCCAUAAAGAAACCCCCAAAGAAACCAGGGGACCCAGUCAAGUGGAGAUUUUGUCAGGACUUGCGGGCUGUGAAUAAGUAUGUGGUCUCACUCCACACAGUGGUGCCAGACCCUGCCACCAUUGUAAGCCAGAUACCCUGGGACGCCCGGUGGUUUACCGUAAUUGACUUAAAAAUGCCUUUUUCAGUAUCCCAUUGCACCCAGACUCGCAGUUCUUGUUCGGGUUCACCUGGGACCACCGCAGUUUCGUCUGGACCCGAAUCCCACAGGGCUACCACGACUCUCCAGGAAUAUUCAGCCAGUACCUAAAAGGCGACCUGGAGGACUUUAGCCCCUCAGAAGGAUCCAGUGUGGUGCUUUAUGUGGAUGAUGUUUUGCUAACCAAUGCGGAGGCUUACACAUUGUGGAAGGACGGUAAGGAAUUUUUACUCUAUCUACACUCCCGGGGACACAAAGUAGACCCCAAGAAGAUUUAGUGGGCCAAGCAGAAGGUUAAGUACCUGGGAUUUCUCCUUACCCCAGAGGGCAGACAUAUGGACCCUGGCAGGGUGGCGGCAAUCCAGCAAUGCCCGUUGCCCUGCACUAAGAAACAGCUACGAGGGUUCCUUGGCAUAAUCGGCUUCUGUAGGCAGUGGCUACCGUCAUGUGGGGAACUCUGCAAGCCCCUACAUGCGCUCACCGCAAAGAAAGCCACGGAUCCCCUCACAUGGGACCCCGAUUCCAUUACGGCAUUUGAGCAGUUAAAAGAGAGCGUGGCCGUCUCUAUGUCUCUGAAACCGCCCAAUUACUCCAAACCUUUCCAACUAUUUGUACAUGAGCGAGAGGGAGUGGCCAGUGGAGUCCUAACACAGAAAUGGGGCCCCAGCCAUCUCCCAGUCGCCUUCUAUUCACAGCAAGUAGACAGCGUAGCGAAGGGUACUCCUUCCUGCACACGCACGCUCAUGGCUGCAGCACUGCUGGUUCGAAAGAGCAAGAGCCUCACUUUAGGACAUAAUACCGUUAUCUGGACUUCACAUGCCCUGUCCGCCCUACUUAGGAGGGGAACCACACAGGUCUUUUCAGCGCAACGCCAGCAGUAGCUAGAGGCAGAACUCCUAGAGGAUCCAAAUCUGACAUUCGAAAGAUGCGGUCCCCUCAACCCUGCCACUCUGCUUCCUGAUUUGCCUGUACCUCCAGAUGACCAUGUUUGCGUGGCUGUCAUCAACACCACUCUGCAAGUAAGACAAAAUCUGUCUGACGAGCCUUAGCUUAACCCAGAUCUUGUCCUUUUCACAGACGGGAGCUCAUUUUAUAAGGAUGGGAUCCGAUACACGGGAUACGCCAUCACUAACGAGUGGGAACUGGUGGAAGCGGCCUCCCUACCAGAACGAUGGGGAGCACAAGCCGCCGAACUGUACGCGCUGACACAGGCCUGCCAGUUAGCAGGAAAGACUUUCCAUCUACACCGACAGCAGGUAUGCAUUUGGAGUAAUUCAUUGUCACAUUCACCUUUGGAAGUACAGGGGAUUCCUGAUGGCGGGAGGGAAGCCCAUACAACACUUAUCCCUAGUGCAGAAGCUCCUGGAUGCAGUACAGCUGCCGACCGAAGUGGCGGUCGUACACUGCAGGGCUCACACGAAGGAUCAGGAUCCAGUGACUUUGGGCAAUGCCCUAGCUGACCGGGUAGCUAAGGAAGCCGCCUUGCUGCCGCUUGCCCUCCCCACGCUAGCCCUCGUUACUGAUGACUUCCGCCCAGCAGACAGCCCCUGCGGGACUUCCAAAGAGGUGCAGAAAUGGGAAGCGCUGGGAGCUAACCACCGCGACGGCUUAUGGAUCAUGCCUGACGGGAGAGCAUGCCUUCCCCGCUCCUCUUACCCAGUGGCGGCAGCCUGGCAUCACCAGAAGGGAGGGCAUUACGGGACUCAUGCCUUAGCAGACAUGGUCACCAGAUAUUGGUACACUCCCGGAAUCCAAGCCGCAUGCGCUGCAGUGGUGAGGGCAUGCCACCUAUGCCAAGCGAACGGACCAGCCCGGCCCAAUAGGGCACCGAAAGGGGGGCGCCCAACAGCCGCUGCCCCUUUUCAACAUCUACAGAUGGAUUUUGUAGACCUGCCAAAGGCCAUGGGUAAGAAGCAUCUCCUUGUGGUCGUUUGCACUCUCACUUCAUGGGUGGAGGCCUACCCCAAAACCAACGCUACUGCCCUCACCAUUGCAAGGCUCCUCCUAAAGGAAGUUAUUCCCAGGUUCGGGGUGCCUGAAACGAUCAACUCAGACCGAGGAACACACUUCACAGGGCAAGUACUGAGGCACAUGGAAGAGGAAUUAGGCAUUUCUCCCCUUCUACACACCCCUUAUCACACACAGUCCUCAGGUAAGACCGAGAGACAGAACCAGGAAAUUAAGACGUAUUUGUCUAAAUAUACACAGGAAACGGGGUUAAAGUGGCCACAGGUGCUUCCUCUUGUAUUGUUUUACAUGCGUACUCGGCCCACCAAGGCUCUGGGGUUCUCACCGUAUGAAUUUGUGUUCGGGCACCCGCCCUCCAAGGGUGGGGCCUUGCCGAAUCCAGACGUUUCCCUUCUGGGGGGGGGACCACAUGACAACCUCUCAGUUUCUUUCCUUACAUAGCAGGUUGCAGGAGCUGUGGCGCACAGCCCAAUACUCGCAGACCGUCCCGCUGGAGGAGCAGGUUCAUCCGUUCCAGCCUGGAGACUUUGUGUGGGCCAAGAAGCUUACCCGGUCAACUCCGCUCCAGCCAAGAUACACGGAUCCACAGCAAGUUUUGCUGACUACCCAGUCGGCGGUGUUCCUGGAAGGCCGAAAGUCGUGGAUCCACCAUUCACAUGUCAAGCCAGCUGUGACGGACCUCAGCCCUCCUGUCGAGCUGGACCCCAGUCCCGGAAAAGAGCCGGAGCUGCUCAUCUCGGAAACCCGGAUAGUGCCGAAGCUGCAUUUACGUCGAGACCCAGUGACUGAUUUGUGGGCACCCAACACCGUUCCUUUCCGCGACGCAGAGCCAUGAUCAACGGCAACCGCCUCCUAGCUCCGAAAGCAGUAGCCUUGAUCCUCCUCAUGUAUACAGGACUGUUUCCAGUUACACCCCUCUGUUGCCCCGAUGGAAUAAAGAUUUGUACCGCUGCUGAUUACAAUAUGCCCCCAGCAGGGACUCAGAUGGGACUCCCCGAUCCAAAAGUCCCAGGAGAAUGUCCCAACCCAUAUAUGUAUCGCAUCUUUCAGUCGCACAAUCAGUCCUUUGUUGUUGAUAUUGCCGGAUGGAGAACCAGGUGCCAGAAAGCAGCGGUGGUGUUCCAACACAGGUACCUGGGCCCCGAAGUUACACAGUGUGUACGGGCGGAGGUGGCAUGGGCAAUACACAUAGCUCUGGGUUGUGUCAGGCCAAGGGGACUAGCCAGAUACUCCCCUUGCCCUACAAACAUGGAUGCUUUUUCUGUGGUUCAGGAAUACUCAAUGUUUACCUAUAGGGAGAAAGGAGCUCCCAAGCCAAAGUAUUGCAUUGGGCUGGAACACACCACGUGUUAUAACACCCUGAGAGAAAUAAGGGAGAGGGGGCUCACGGCCAGAUACCAGGCCCCUCCAGAGAAACCCACUCCUGCCCACAACCCCUCGCCACCCCCUCUAGUUUUCCUCUCUCUCUUAGAAGCCACAGCCCCUAAAAAUGGCACAUGCUACGUGUGUGCCCACACCCCCCACACGGAGCAGCAGGAGUUCCCCUAAUAGGUACACCUCUCUCCCUUGAAGAACUCCCCACUUUCUUAUGACGACAGCCUGCUAAAGAACUGGAUGGACCCUUGGAAACCAGUGGCACAUUAAAGGGGGAAAUUUGUAUAAGCAGCAAACCAAGGGCCUAUUCCGGCAUGCACUGUCAUUUCAUUAUGAGUCAACUGGAACCAAAUAAUUGGGGAAUCUUUAAUGAUACUUAUUUUCUAAAUGCCAGACUUCUAAAGGAUGCCACCUGGCUGCAGGCUUGGUACACGUUUUUGCCCCAGAAUUCCUCUGAUCCAGAAUUGUUCCCAUUCCUAUUUCAUUUACAGACACGGCCCACACCGAAGGGUCUAUGGUGGCUGUGUGGUCAUCAGGCAGUACGAAAUCUGCCAAAAGGAGACAGUUGGACUUGCACCUUGGGGAGGGUGGUCCCUGGACUCCGUGUAACCAAUGACCCCCCGGUGGCCAGACAUCGGAACCGGAGAAGGGCAGGGGAAGCGGUGCUCAGGGGCCUCUUUCCACAAUAUGGGGCAGGGCAAAACUAUAUGGACUUAAUAAAAUUGUCCAAUUCCUUUGAGGAUUUCCUAAAUGAUACCACAGUUUCCAUCAAAGAUCUGACCAAUGAACAAGGGCAAAUUAGGACUGUUGCCCUCCAAAACAGGUUAGCCAUAGACUACCUCUUGGCAAGUUCCGGUGGCAUAUGCGUGCUAAUCAGAACCGAAUGCUGUACUUCCAUCACUGAUACAAAAGCUGAUGUUUUACAGCAUCUGAAUCACUUAGACAAGGUGUAUAACAAUGUUGAGAAAAUAAAGGAAUCUUCCCUCCUCCCUAAUGUUGCUGAAUGGUUCGACAGCUGGCCCAGCUGGCAUAAAAUACUGACAUAUGUCAUCUUUGGAAUCUGCGCCAUAGCCAUUUGUUGUUGUUGUAUCCAAUGUUUGCCUAGCCUGCUCUCCAUUUUCUCUAGUUGUUGCUCUAGGUGCACUGCAGCAUGUCUUAAAAAGCCUCUCUCAGUUACGGAGUUGGCUUUGCAAGAUAUGACGUUUCACUUAAUGUAUGAAAUGCCAUGGCCGGAGGAAGAUGAAGCAGCUAUCUAUUAGAACGCUGGACGUCUAAUAGCGCUGAAAGGGGGGAAUUGUUAGGACAAAACAGGGUAAGGCCUCAGUUAACACAUCUAAAGGCACAACAGCACAGCAGAACCAAAGUUGCAAAGCACCAUGGGCCCAACUGACAGGAAAGUAUUCCUUAGGUUUCGUUUCUUGACUGUGGGAACGCACCUGAGAUGGUGCCUGCCAGGCUGCAACUAUGUUCCGGAUGAGAUAAUCAUUCAACUGUCCUUGACUGUUUUAUUUUCCUGUACUCUGUGUAUUCUCAACUCCCUUCAUGCCAUGCUGUUAUCCUUUGUAAUAAAUGACUACAGUCUCCCCCAAUGUGUCAAUAUCCCCUCAGAAGUGUGUAAUAGAAUAUUCCUAGAAGAUAGUUCUCAGGGCCAUAUGUAUCUCUUUGUAUAUGUGUCUUUCAUUUAUGGUGCCCCAGUGUUACUUCACCCCAACAUACCAUUCCUUAUUUCAGGAUGAGAUGGACAUGGGUUCUGAUUUUCAAAGAGAAACUUCCUGACUUUGAUAUGUAGCAAGUGAUAUGUAACUUAGGUCUGUUACUUUUCUCUUGUUUUAGUUACAUUUUGUUUAUUGAUAGUACGCUUCAGAAUGCUAUAUAUUGUCAUGCUGAACAAUAAAGAGUUGCUCUCAUCCUUGCCAGGCUGUUGUGCCCGUGUGAGUGUGAAAGCCCUUUUUGAUCAAGAA